GACGAACGCUGGCGGCGUGCUUAACACAUGCAAGUCGAACGGAAAGGCCCUGCUUUUGUGGGGUGCUCGAGUGGCGAACGGGUGAGUAACACGUGAGUAACCUGCCCUUGACUUUGGGAUAACUUCAGGAAACUGGGGCUAAUACCGGAUAGGAGCUCCUGCUGCAUGGUGGGGGUUGGAAAGUUUCUGCGGUUGGGGAUGGACUCGCGGCUUAUCAGCUUGUUGGUGGGGUAGUGGCUUACCAAGGCUUUGACGGGUAGCCGGCCUGAGAGGGUGACCGGCCACAUUGGGACUGAGAUACGGCCCAGACUCCAACGGGAGGCAGCAGUGGGGAAUAUUGCACAAUGGGCGGAAGCCUGAGGCAGCAACGCCGCGUGCGGGAUGACGGCCUUCGGGUUGUAAACCGCUUUCGCCUGUGACGAAGCGUGAGUGACGGUAAUGGGUAAAGAAGCACCGGCUAACUACGUG
rnacentral:rRNA from 1 species